rnacentral:misc_RNA from 1 species
CGGCCGAUCUUCAGAUUUAUCCCACUGUUCCAGAUCAAUCAAGGAUACAUCAGAAAAUCAUAAAAUGUUUACUUGAACAGUAUAGUAAAAUGCAUAAUUUGGAUGAUUGUAAUUAAGCAUGCAUGAACCCUAAAAACAAGCAUCGUGUUUCCAUUCAACAAAAUGAAGAAGAUUCAACUUUGCAUGAUGGUAGAAACUGCAAAUACUAG